GGUUCCCCCGGGUCUCCGGGGGCAACGAUCAGCUGCUGCACGCCCGGGGGCGUGCAGUUCACAGAUCAAACGCGGGUGGCCUGCGCCCGCCAGGUUGAGAUAUGACCGUAGCAGCUCCGCCAGGAGCCUGGCAUGCUAGUUCCGUAGGUGAACCUGCGGAAGGAUCAUUA
rnacentral:rRNA from 1 species